GAAGAUAAUUCAAAUGUUUAUUUAUUUAUUUAUUCUUCCUGUGUAAUUAUACUUUUUUGCAUAAAAAUUGAGAAAAAAAAAUUGAGAAAAAAAAAUAUUAAAAAAAAAAAAAAAGAAGAUACCAGGACAUUAAAAACAUUGACGUUUCUGAAUAUUCCGCAUCUGUAUUCUCCUGGAUUAAAUGAAAGUACACCGCUAUUAUCUACUUUCAUUUGGAUAAAAUGGAAGGCAAAGUUGCCUUUUGUGAUGCAUAAAAGAGUUAGAUGCGACGCGAAAUCCGGCGCUUGAUAUUAAAGUAUUAAUGCCGCGUAACACCGUUUCCAUCCCCGUCCAAGGGAUAUUUUAAUAUAAACGGGGGAUUUAGAUAUUUCACUUUGACAAAUUUUCGACCUCCAACAACUGCUCAAAGGAAAUUGAAGCUGGCCAACGACUGCAAUAGGGCCGUGUACACGCGAUGCGGCUGGUUAUUUUAUGUUUACAGAUGACUCGACAUCCCAUAAUAAAUAUCGUUGCCCGGUCCACAAAUCUUCGGUGCAUCGCAUUUGUCCCCGUUUCUUUUUUCUUAUUCAUGAAACCGCGCCGGACGUCCUCUCCUUUUACGUAUCUUGGCGCCGUUGGCCACCGUCCCGCCUUAACAUUAUGAAAAUCUCAAUAACAUCGAGAGAAAUAUAGCUCCACCUCAUCCCUUUAAAAGCGUUCCCUCCGACCGAGGUAUCGAUUAAACGGUUGAUAGCAAUUUCCUGCAGACGGCGGGCCGAUUCGUUAACACGAAAAUAUGAUACGGAUUUUAUUAGCGCGUGAAAUGGAAGCGAUUUUGUUUCUCGCGCGGUGGCACACUUUUUUCACCGGUGCUCGCGCGAUUAACGCCGUGGCUCGCGUAUCGUUUCGCGUUGUUACACGGCACGGAACAGCUGGCCGAAGAGUUCAAUUUUUGUCGUGGCGGAACGGGCGACGAUUUAAUGAAAACACAGGCGGUCGUAUUUCCAUGGGG